AGUUGCUUUGCCACUUAGUUAAUGUUAUGAUUUUUUAAAAUGCUGAGAUAUAAUUCAAAUCUAAAAUUUAAGGUGUUCUAAGGCAUCAUUUUGGUUAUUGUUUUUCAAAUUUCUUUUUCCAUAAAUCAAUUUCCCAUUUGGUAUUACUUAAACUAAUUCAAAAGGUCUUGAUUAAUUGGAAUUUUGAAUUGAAUUCUUUUGCCUAACCAGUUUGGUAUGUUUCAUCUACUAAAUAAUUUGCAUCAAAACUUAAUUACUUGGGCACAUAAUUUGUUUUUCUAAUUUAUCUCUCAAUUGCAUAAAUGAUAAUCUAACAUUGAG
rnacentral:misc_RNA from 1 species